rnacentral:lncRNA from 1 species
CACACACCCCACACGGCCCUAAAAGUGCGUGUGCAAAAUUUCAUCAAAUAUUUAACGAAAUCUUCGAGGGCAGCUCGAAGCAAUUACUGAAUGUGACCAAGUCAACGAGACGAUCCACACAGACCCGCAUCCAGAAAACUUGAAGCUACUACUCCAACACCACAUCUGCCUGAAUGCUAUCAUGCUUCCUGCCAUGAUGACAAUGGACUAAACUUGUGAGCCUUAUACAGAUCUGCUCUGAGUUAGCUUCUACCAUAUACAGCACUAUAAGAGAUGACUGAGUACCAAGACUAAAGCCUCCCGGGUACUGCCUUGAAUUCCUGCCCUGACCUUGUUGGAUGAUGUACUGCCAGCUGUGAGAUGAAAUAAACCGUUUUCUCCUCAGCUGCCUUUUGGUCAUGGUGUUUAUUACAGCAGUAGAAACCCUAAGACCAACACCAGAGCAGUGGUUCCAACAAGCCAGGACAACCAGAAAAGUAUGGUUCCUGGUUCCUUGUCAUCUCUCUGCCUUAUCCAGAUGCUGUAUGUGAGGACAUGACUGAAACUGACACCUGCAUAACUCUUGGUUGGGCCAAGUGAACCAAUGGCUCAUUCGCCUUCCUGUGCUUCACCCAGGUCUCUGCUGUAAACCCUACAAAGUCCCCGCCUGACUACUACAGAGAAGGAAGUCUCCCUUCUCUCCUAUGCUCCCACCUGUGAAUCCACAACAAACUGUUUCUAAAAUUCACUCUGUGUUCCAGGAACAUCAUUCCUCUAAUUCCCUAGACAAGUACGCAGAGGC